rnacentral:rRNA from 1 species
AAAUCCUGUCUAAAGAUUAAGCCAUGCAUGUCUAAGUAUAAGCAAUCUAUACGGUGAAACUGCGAAUGGCUCAUUAAAUCAGUUAUCGUUUAUUUGAUAGUACCUUGCUACAUGGAUACCUGUGGUAAUUCUAGAGCUAAUACAUGCUGAAAACCCCGACUUCGGAAGGGGUGUAUUUAUUAGAUAAAAAACCAAUGCCCUUCGGGGCUCCUUGGUGAUUCAUAAUAACUUAACGAAUCGCAUGGCCUUGCGCCGGCGAUGGUUCAUUCAAAUUUCUGCCCUAUCAACUUUCGAUGGUAGGAUAGUGGCCUACCAUGGUGGCAACGGGUAACGGGGAAUUAGGGUUCGAUUCCGGAAAGGGAGCCCUGAACAAAC